CCGAGUUUACAACUCCCAAACCCCUGUGAACAUACCUAUAUGUUGCCUCGGCGGAUCAGCCCGCGCCCCGUAAAAAGGGACGGCCCGCCGCAGGAACCCUAAACUCUGUUUUUAGUGGAACUUCUGAGUAUAAAAAACAAAUAAAUCA
rnacentral:misc_RNA from 1 species